rnacentral:lncRNA from 1 species
AUGUGCUAUGUCCCAAGCUUCCUUCUAGCUCUGAUAUUCUAUGCUACAUGGUCCUUCUCAGUUUUAACAUUACUCCAACAACUCUCUGCCACUCAUUUUAAAAGUAAGAGCAUUCCCCAAGAAUUUGUCAUGCUCAACUAUGCAUGUUGGUUAGAAGGGAUUUGUUUUUCCCUAUUGGAGCAAUGGGGGGGGGGGGGGUGGAUAAGAAAAGAGGGGAAAACAGAAAAGACAGAAAAGAAGAUCCUUGAGAUUUUUUUAAUGCAUAGAAGAAAAAGAAGGAAAGCCAGAAAGAAGCACAAAGGAGCAAGGCAACUUUGGAAGCUACAAAGGAAGCACCCGGACUCACAGAGUAGAAAUGACUGCCUCAAGGUCACCCAAGGAAUCACUGUAGAGCCAGGACUCCUAUUUUGCUCUGCUGACUUCAAGAGAGUUCCAGACCCCUUGGCAGAAGCAUCGCUACCAGCCCUGGAGGUUAAUUAGAAGCCCAGCGUGAAGGUGACUCUACACUGGCCCCAUGUCCUGAGAUGACUUCUCUCAGAAGUAGGUCCCUGCCAUCUUGCCCGUGGGAGCUUUUAUCUUAAAUGAUCUGGGCACAUCCAAAGCCCCAAGCCAAUGGAAUCAUUUAUUGUUGUUGUCCUUCCAUCAUUCAGUUGUGUCUGACUCUUUGUGACUCUGGACAGCGUUGUGCCAAUACGGUCCGUGGAGUUUUCUUGGCAACAAUAUUAAUUCGAGUGAUUUGCCAUUUCCUCCUUUGUCCUUAAAUUGAAUGUAUGAACUGAUAAAAUAAGCACUUCUAUGUUGAGAUCACAGAGCAUGCUUGGGAGCACAGUUGUGCCUUCUCCACCCAUACCUCCCCAUAUGGAUGUUGUGUCACAACCACCAGAAAAUAAAACACUUAUGGAGGCAGGAGCA